AUUCCAAACCUCCUGGUCAAAGUCAGAUCUCAUGGAUCUUUGAAACGGAGCAAGGCCGGGCCUGGUCAGUACUUGGAUGGGAGACCGCUGGGAAUUCUAAGGGCCAAUG
rnacentral:rRNA from 1 species